rnacentral:rRNA from 1 species
GACGAACGCUGGCGGCGUGCCUAAUACAUGCAAGUCGAGCGCAGGAAACUGACGGAACUCUUCGGAGGGAAGGCAGUGGAAUGAGCGGCGGACGGGUGAGUAACACGUAAGGAACCUGCCUCAAGGAUUGGGAUAACUCCGAGAAAUCGGAGCUAAUACCGGAUAGUUCAUCGGACCGCAUGGUCCGUUGAUGAAAGGCGCUUCGGCGUCACCUUGAGAUGGCCUUGCGGUGCAUUAGCUAGUUGGUGGGGUAAUGGCCCACCAAGGCGACGAUGCAAAGCCGCCCGUGGAGGGUGAGCGGCCACACUGGGACUGAGACACGGCCCAGACUCCUACGGGAGGCAGGAGUAGGGAAUCUUCCACAAUGGACGAAAGUCUGAUGGAUCAACGCCGCGCGAGUGAUGAAGGUUUUCGGAUCGUAAAACUCUGUUGUAAGGGAAGAACACGUACGAGAGGAAAUGCUCGUACCUUGACGGUACCUUACGAGAAAGCCACGGCUAACUACGUGCCAGCAGCCGCCGCCGUAA